CCCUGGCGUUGCAAACCCUGUUUACCAAGGAAAUUCUUUUAGUACUGUACCUCAUUGUGUUUCAUCUAUGGACUAUUGUGUGCCAGUCCAUCUUUCACUAACCUCCUUGUUGUGAGCCAGACGGAUCUCAAGUGACACAGGUGUGCUCUCUGUCUUCCUCCAUCAGGUCUUAAACAGUUGGUGCUGAUCGGGCUAUCAAUGGGGGUGGUGGUGUGUGUGGCUGUGUGUGUGGCCGCAGCUCUGGUUCUUACCUUCAGAAGGAGGGUGUAUUCUGUUUCAGGAAAUCAGAUGCCAAUCAACCCAGGAAAUAUGGUGCAAGCAAACAACAGGGACACCUAUCUGCUGCCUUUGAUACCGUGAACCAUCAGAUCCUCCUCUCCACCCUCUCCG